UAAAGCAUCCUGAGACCCUUCAUGUGUGGGGCUGCUUCUUAUCAAAGGGAGUGGGGCUCACUCACAAUGUACCCCAGAACAUGGCCAAGAAUAAAGAAUGGAACCAAAAACAUCCUCCGACAGCAACUUCUCCAAACCAUCCAAGAAAAGUGAGAACUAAGAGAACUAAGUCGAGGAACAAAACAUUGAAAUGGCCAGGAAGCUCCCGGACCUUAAUCCAAUGGAGAAUUUGUGGUCAAUCCUCAAGAGCAGUCAGUCAAGAUUUGGUCCAGAUGUUGAUUGACAGCAUGUCAGGGCUUAUCUCCUCUGUCUGGAUAACAUCCGUCUUGCAGCCAUGAGAAGUUUUGGCAUACUUUCUGAAUAAAAUAACUAUAGCUUCAGGUGUACCUACAAUUUUAAACAGUAGAAUGUUCGCCCAUAGCAGAAAACAUUGUAUAUCAUGUCACUCUGAUACAUUUCAGAUCAAAUGUACAAUGAUCAACCCCGCUGUAUGGGGUUGGAAUAGACCAGACCUAGAAAAUCUGUGGGGUGACCUGAAGAGGGCUGUGCACUUUUGUAAGGAAAAAUAAAUAUUGCAGUGUCAUGAUGUGCCAUUCUGAUAGACCUCUACCCAAGGGGAAUGCUUUAAAUGAAUCAGAAGUUUUUUUUUAAACAAAGUAUUGGCUUAAAAAAAAACAUUUCUACUGUGUUAAACUGUAUCUGUAGUUUUAUACAAUGGAAUGAUGCUCUGAAAUGGAAAACAUUGUGCAUGUGUAAUUGAGCAUUUCUGUAGAAUGUGUGCAAAACAUGUGGCAAUCUGAUAAAUAUGCUGUUAUCUUCUAAAGAAUAUGCUCCUACAAUUCCCACUGAUAUCCAGAUCACUAAAGGCCCUACAAUCCCUUGUACUCAACUCACCUGAACAGACUUCAUCAUCCACUUCACUGAUCAAUACAGCAGGAGUCGGGGGUGAGAAUGGUGUACUCUCAAACCUGCAAUAGAACUUGUUCAGAUCGUCUGCCAAUUGUUGAUUCUCCACAGUGCUGAGGGAUGGUGACUUGUAAUUGGUCUUUCAAGCUUUUCCACAUGGAGGCUGGGUUGCCAGAGGAGAACAGAGUUAGUUUUUGGAAUAAUUCUUCUUUAAUGCCCUCAUCUCCUUUUCCUGUGUGUAUUUGGCCUGUUGCCUCUCUCCCCAAUCCUGUGAGCAUCUGCUUUGGCCUGAUGGAGCCAGUUGAGUUUUGCAGUAAACCAUGGUUUGUCAUUGUAGAUUAAACAAGUCCUGCUAGUAAUGCACCUAUCCUCACAGAAACUGAUACUGAUAUGUUACGGUCUCUGUGAGCUCGUUCAAUAGUAAGGGGGUGGUGUCAAAGACAAACAACAAAACUGAUUUGAUCGCAUUAUUAUUUGUGUAUAAAGUCCCUUUUGACACCUUUGUGGCCAAAAUGCCCAAUUCACUUUAAUGGAAAUCACAUUGUACAGAGAAAAACAAUCUAGGGCUGCAACCACGAAUCGAUUAAAUAUAUUAAAAAAAUCUAUUAAAUCGAUAAAAAUCAAUUACAAAAAAAGUCGGCAACGAAUUUCAAGACCUGGACCUUGAAAUAAAUAAAUAAGAACACACACAGGCUCCACACACCUGCAAGUAACUCUUAGUUUACACCUGGUGGACACACAAUACCAUAACAUAAAAAAAUUAUUAUAUAAAAUCCUGAAAAUUGAAUGUUUCACCAUUUUGGAAAGGGCUCAAGUUUGCAUAAGUGAUUUAUGAAAUACUGAUGUAUGAGGAUUUUAUGGCAGAAUUUGGUGUAUUUUGGCCACAAGGAAGUCGAGAUGCAUUACACUACACAAAAAAUACAAAUGCAGUCAAAUAUUUUUUUAUGAAAAAAAAUCUGAAAAAAAAAUAUUGAUGUAUGAGGAUUUUAUGGCAGAUUCUGUGCAUGUUUAUUUUUGACCAGGAAAGCGUGAGGGUGCAAAACACAAACCCAGAAUAUGGAUGACAUCUAACGGUAAAAUUUAAGAAAAAAAAAAAAAAAAAGAUUUCUUAGAGAAAUUCAUGCCACAAGCUCAUGCACAGCCAUAAAAAAAGUGGGAAAAAUUAACAAAAAUGCCCGAUAGAAUCCUGCAAGACGGUACUAUACAUCUGUAGUUCCAGCCAGUGUGCAGGACUGUAAUAGAGAGGAGUAGCACAAGUUCAUGUGCUUCACUCUAUCUAAGAGGAUGGGGAGAUUUUGAUACUUGGAAUCAGGGCUGUUCCAUUUAUAAAUCUGGAAAUGAGAGGUUCAUCUGUUCCACCUCGACCAAAACCAACCCAUCCUCUCCACAGAACGUAUCCACCAAUACCAGUGAAGCGGUACCAGCCUUCAAUGAGGUUGGAAUCAGUCUCUUGCCAGCCAUGGAAAAAGAGAAGAAAUUAAGCCAGAAUUCUGUCAUGAGUCUGAGAAGUUUGUGGAUGGUGGACAGGCAUCUGGAAAAAAAUUAUAGCAUAAGACAGAAAUUUUCUAUGAAGAUCCAUGUGAAAAACCUCAAGUAUAAUCUAC
ensembl:lncRNA